AGUAUCUCAUGAUAAGCUGUAGACCACACUAUCUACCAAGAGGUAGAGUAUCUCAUGAUAAGCUGUAGACCACACUAUCUACCAAGAGGUAGAGUAUCUCAUGAUAAGCUGUAGACCACACUAUCUACCAAGAGAGUUCUCAUCUAUAUUAUUAGUAGCUCUAUAAGGCCAUAAGACCGCACUCAACCAGCUGUAUAAGGCACUAAGACCACACUCAACCAACUCUACAAGGCCAUAAGACCCCACUCAACCAACUCUACAAGGCCAUAAGACCCCACUCAACCAACUCUACAAGGCCAUAAGACCCCACUCAACCAACUCUACAAGGCCAUAAGACCCCACUCAACCAGCUGUAUAAGGCACUAAGACCCCACUCAACCAACUCUAUAAGGCCAUAAGACCCCACUCAACCAACUGUACAAGGCCAUAAGCAAACAAGAAAAUGCUCCUCCAAAAGCGGCGCCCCUAGUGUCCGGGGACUUUAAUGCAGGCAAAUUUAAAUCAGUUUUACCUCAUUUCUAUCAGCAUGUCACAUAUGCAACCAGAGGAGAGAAAAAACCUCUAGCCCACCUUUACUCCACACAGAGAUGCAAACAAAGCUCUCCCUCGCCCACCGCUUUCAAGCCUACCAGACGAGCUAAAUGACUUCUAUUCUCGCUUUGAGGCAAGCAACACUGAAGCAUACAUCACUGGGGCCAAGCUUCCUGACAUCCAGGACCUCUAUACCAGGCGGUGUCAGAGGAAGGCACUAAAAAUAGCCAGACUCCAGCCACCCUAGUCAUCGACUGUUCUCUGCUGCCACACAGCAAGCGGUACCGGAGCGCCAAGUCUAGGUCCAAAGGACUUCUUAACAGCUUCUACCCCCCAGCCAUAAGACUCCUGAACAGCUAAUCAAAUGGCUACUCAGACUAUUCACAUUGAUCCCCCCCCCACCCCCAUUUUUAUGCUGCUGUUACUCUGUUUAUUACCUAUGCAUAGUCACUAACUCUACCUACAUGUACAAAUUACCUCAAUUAGCCUGACUAGCCUGUGCCCCUGCCCAUUGACACUGUACCGGUACCCCCUGUAUAUAGCCUCCACAUUGACUCUGUACCGGUACCCCCUGUAUAUAGCCUCCACAGACUCUGUACCGGUACCCCCUGUAUAUAGCCUCCACAUUGACUCUGUACCGGUACCCCCUGUAUAUAGCCUCCACAUUGACUCUGUACCGGUACCCCCUGUAUAUAGCCUCCACAUUGACUCUGUACCGGU
rnacentral:lncRNA from 1 species